rnacentral:rRNA from 1 species
CCUACGAGUGGCUGCAGUGAGGAAUAUUGGUCAAUGGGCGCGAGCCUGAACCAGCCAAGCAGCGUGAAGGAUGACUGCCCUACGGGUUGUAAACUUCUUUUAUAAAGGAAUAAAGUGAGGCACGUGUGCCUUUUUGUAUGUACUUUAUGAAUAAGGAUCGGCUAACUCCGUGCCAGCAGCCGCGGUAAUACGGAGGAUCCGAGCGUUAUCCGGAUUUAUUGGGUUUAAAGGGAGCGUAGAUGGGUUGUUAAGUCAGUUGUGAAAGUUUGCGGCUCAACCGUAAAAUUGCAAUUGAUACUGGCAGUCUUGAGUACAGUUGAGGUAGGCGGAAUUCGUUGUGUAGCGGUGAAAUGCUUAGAUAUCACGAAGAACUCCGAUUGCGAAGGCAGCUUACUAAACUGCCACUGACAUUGAUGCUCGAAAGUGUGGGUAUCAAACAGGAUUAGAUACCCCAGUAGUC